rnacentral:rRNA from 1 species
UUUUUUGUUUUAUAUAAAAAAUCUGGCCUGCUCAGUGAGUUUUAAAUAGCUGCAGUAUUUUGACUGUACAAAGGUAGCAUAAUCACUUGUCCUUUAAUUGAGGUCUGGAAUGAAUGGUUUGAUGAAAAAUAUACUUUAUUUAUUUUUAAGAAAAAAUUUAAUUUUUGAGUAAAAAAGCUUGAAAAUUUUUUUAUAGGACGAGAAGACCCUAUAGAGCUUUAUUUUAUUAUUUUUGUAUUAUAUUAGGUUAUAUAUUUUUAAUAAAAAUGGUGAAAUUUUGUUGGGGUGACAAAAAAAAUAUAAUAACUUUUUUUAAUUAUUACAUUGAUUAAUGUAUUUUUGAUCCUUUUUUUGGAAAAAAGAAUAAGCUACCUUAGGGAUAACAGCGUUAUUAUUUUGGAGAGUUCAUAUCGAUGAAAUAGUUUGCGACCUCGAUGUUGGAUUAAAAUAAGAUAUAGAAGUAGAAUGUUAUAUUCUUGGUCUGUUCGACCUUUAAAUUUUUACAUGAUCU